GUGUUAAACCAGACCGUCUGUGAAUUUCCUCCGGAGCACCCGUUAUCCACAUCCAGACCUCUACGUCUCUUGGGCAUACUCCAUUACAGAUGAUUGUAGGGGCCAUGUUAGGAUUCAUAGUGGCACUUAUGAUGAAAGCAUCUGAGUAGCACUGUAUGUGUUGGCCAAGGUGGAUGAUGCAAGCAUUCAAUUGCUUUUGGCUUUAGAGGUAGGGUGAAAACUCCCAACUUGGAAUUCUUCCCACUUGCAACUGACGAUUACCGAAACAACGUCCGGGAGGAGGAAGCGCUAGAGAAAUGGAGGAAGCUGUGUAGGUUGGUGAAGAAUAAGAAACGCUUUCGCGUUUCACAAUUUUCCUCUCCAAGUCUUUCGAAGCAUGUGCUAAUCAGCGAUCUAAUAUGGUUCGUUUUCAUUCUCUUUCGCAUAUGUUCUAUUAUUCAUGACUAUGUUUUACUGAAAUUUCAUGUUUUAUGUUGUGUUCAUUUGAAAUCGGUGAACUUUAGUCUGUGGUUAAUUAAUUGAGUUGAUUGGGAUUCUUAUCCAUAAGGUAGCCAGCCACAUCAUGAUGCCUAUUUUAAUAAAUGUUGCAUACAUGUUUAUAAUAAGUGAAUAGGUUGAUUUCAUUAUAUGUUACAUCCCAAUCUAAUAACAUGGUGGUAAUGUCUACUUGAUUGUGGUGUUUCAUCCCAAUCUGAUAACACACAGUAAUGGUGCAGCCGUGCAGGUGGGUUUCAUGGGUUGUUGAUUUGGGGCUAACAAAAUAAACUUAAAAUUUUGAUCUUUAUCAACCCUUCAUAUUGGUUUUUAAGGUUUUUUGUUUUGUUUUGUACACAAAACAAAUUAACUAAAUCAAAGCUUUUUAAAUCACAAGAUGGUUAUAUCGUGUUACCUAGCCCGACUAGGUAUAUCUUAAAUAUAGUUUUAAUUUCAAAAUUGUGUAGCGCAAGCUAUUGGUACUGUUUUGGUUGAACAUGUGGGUUAUAUUUUAAUGUUUAUACCCUUUGUCGAGCCCCAAGUCAAUAACCCAUGAAACCCAAUCAUGGAUUGGCAAGAACUGCUCCACGUACAUCUAACCUCAACGGAGGGUAUGAUACAUGUACACAAAUCAUGAGUCAAAACAUGGUUCAAUGCCGGUGGUGGUGAUUUUGCGGUGGUGAAAAUGAGUGGAGCCGGUGGUUUGGGUGGGCAGAUCUGGUAACAGAUGGGUUGUAGGUGGAUAGGGGUGUCGGUAGUUGUUGGUGGUGGCGUCGUGCGAGUGUGGUAGUUGAGGAAAGAUUGAGGUCGUUAGUGAGCCAACCCGUUUAUUAGAGUAUCCACCUUCGGACAUUUUCAUUCUUUGCCCACUGGUAAUAUUAGGUAUGUCUACAUUUGUGACUUAUCGAAUCCCAUUAUCCUUUGGCCUUUAUGACUAAUAUAUAUGAUUUUGUUGAGUUUAAUAUGGGAAUACAAGGACAUUACAAGUUGAAACAAGCUGAAAGAAUUAGAACAAAAGUAUACGGCUAUUGAACAAGCCGACUAUUACAAGCCUUAAAGAUAGAAUCUGAUGUAAAACAGAAUGGUUCGAUUAUUGUUUGACCUGACUAAGAGGAGCACUCGCCAUUUAUAAACAUAACCCUAUCGCAUCUUAUGGGAGUACCAAGUGUUCCAUAUCAAAAGUUGUAUAGUUUUAUCAAUCGGAAGCAGUUCGAAUCUUGAAAGAUCGUUGCUUUAAGCUCUCCCUCGGGAUAUAUUG